ACACACCAGUUAAUAUACACCCUGUCACACAUGAUCCGCAGAUUCCCCUCAGUUUUUAAUUUGAAUUUUCCCGUUAAUCGGUGAACUUUUUUUGAAAUCCGACUUCACUGUAUUUUUGUUCAUCUCGCAACGAUCAAUUUCCAUACCAUAUGUGCUAUAUUUCGAUUUGAUUUAGAGACUUUUUAAUUUUAGUUUGUAGUUAUUGGAGUACAAAGUUGGGUAAAAUGUAAUCUAUUCAUCUAAAUUUCAAUUUUUUUGUUCAAUAAUAUUCGUAAACAUUUAAUAACCUGCACAUUAUGUUCUACACAACAAAAACAUUGUAAUUUAUAGUAGAAUAAUGACUUUUAUAAAUUACAGGACUCUAUGUUCUGCAAUAUAACUAAUAAGCAGAACAAUAAUGUUAAUACUUGUUAAAAUUGAAAGAUAUUAACGAUUGAUAGACAAUUAUGUGCAAGACAACUUAUAAAUGAUAGAUUGUAUAUAAAUUUAUAUAAUCAAAUAUAUUAUUUAUGAUUAAACUUAAAAAUUAAGACUUAUACUCCAAUACUCCAAUGUUUUUGUGUACUCCAUAGAACUUAACUCUAUAUAUAUAUAUUAUAUAAUAGUACAAAAAUUAGAAAAUAUACAUAAUCUUUUGUGGAAUNNNNNNNNNNNNNNNNNNNNNNNNNNNNNNNNNNNNNNNNNNNNNNNNNNNNNNNNNNNNNNNNNNNNNNNNAUCUUCUAAUUCAACAACCUAUCACCAUUCACCACCAACCACCACCAUCAACUUCAAUGACCACCACCAACUCCGGCGACCACCAGAAAAUCACCACCGGCAAACAUAAAAUCACCACUGUAAAACUAAAAAUCACCACCGGAAAUCUUAAAAUCACCGCCAGAAAACCAAAAAACAACACCAGAAAAUUAAAAUCAUCAAAUCACCACCAUCUACAAACCACCACCACAACCUCCUAAAUCCGAAAAUCACCAACUACAAAAUAAAAUCACCACCAGGAAAUCAAAAACAACCCCAUAAAAUGAAAAUCACCACAUCCAACCACAAAUAAUUAAAAUCACACAAUGCAAUCAUCAAACUAAUCACACAAACACGGUCGAAAUUUUUAAUCCAAAUCAACAAAACCGAACAAAAUAAAACACGAAAAAUCGAGGAAUUACAGCGGAUCGAUCUGCCAAGCUCCGAAAACAGCUACGAAGAUAUAGAGUUUCUCUCUCUAGAUGAAGGAUAUGGUGAAGCCAAGGGAGGGGGAAAUGCAAGGGACUAAGUGAUGAUGUGUGUGUGGUUGCCGGCGGUGGCGAUUGAGCCGAGGCGGCGGUGGCGCUUUCGCUGUUGCAACGGAGCUCGCGAUGUAGUGGGAGGGGGGGUGGAGGGAGAGAGAGAGAGAGAGCGCAACAGUGGCGGGGAAGGUGGCUGUAAGUGAUGGUGGUGGGUUGUGGUGUUGGUUGGUGUUGGGUGGUGGGAGUUGAAUAAAGAUAUGAAUUAUAAAAUAAAAGUUCAAAUGUGUGGUUGUGAUUUAAUUUGGGGGAUAAAAAUUUGUGGCUGAGAUUAAAUCUCAGAUCUCACAUUAGUUGGGGUUCUCAUUUGAGCAAGAGCCUAUAUAUAUAUAAGUGCUCAAAUACAAACUAAAGUUAGUGUACAAACUACAAACUCAAUAUAAGCCCUUGGAUGAAUCUAAUUCAAUGGCCCCGCAGGGGCAACCACACGCCAGUUAAUAUACACCUUGUCACACAUGAUCCGCAGAAUCCCCUCCGUUUUUAAUUUGAAUUUUCCCGUUAAUCGGUGAACUUUUUUUGAAAUCCGAUUUCAAUGUAUUUUUGUUCAUAUCGCAACGAUCAAUUUCCAUACCAUAUGUGCUAUAUUUCGAUUUAAUUUAGAGACUUUUUUAAUUUUAGUUUGUAGUUUGUACGCUAAGAUGGUUUGUACCAGAGUAGGACCCU
rnacentral:lncRNA from 1 species